rnacentral:rRNA from 1 species
GACGUAGGGGGCGAGCGUUGUCCGGAUUCAUUGGGCGUAAAGCGCGCGUAGGCGGCUGCGCAAGUCGGUUGUGAAUUCCGGGGCUCAACCCGGAACUGCGUCCGAUACUGCGUGGCUAGAGGUAGGUAGGGAGAUCGGAAUUCCUGGUGUAGCGGUGAAAUGCGCAGAUAUCAGGAGGAACACCGGUGGCGAAGGCGGAUCUCUGGGCCUUACCUGACGCUCAGGCGCGAAAGCUAGGGGAGCGAACAGG